UCCAUGAAGUCGGAAUCGCUAGUAAUCGUGGAUCAGAAUGCCACGGUGAAUACGUUCCCGGGCCUUGUACACACCGCCCGUCACACCAUGGGAGUGGGUUGCAAAAGAAGUAGGUAGCUUAACCUUCUGGAGGGCGCUUACCACUUUGUGAUUCAUGACUGGGGUGAAGUCGUAACAAGGUAACCGUAGGGGAACCUGCGGUUGGAUCACCUCCUUACCUUAAAGAAGC
rnacentral:rRNA from 1 species